rnacentral:tRNA from 1 species
GGGAGUUUAGCUCAGUGGGAGAGCGCUGCUUUCGCAAGGCAGAGGCCCAGGGUUCAAUCCCCUGAACUUCCA